CCUACGGGUGGCAGCAGUGGGGAAUAUUGCGCAAUGGGCGAAAGCCUGACGCAGCGACGCCGCGUGAGGGAUGAAGGUCUUCGGAGCGUAAACCUCUGUCAGCAGGGAAGACCGGGCACUGUGCUAAUCAGCAGGGAAUUGACGGUACCUGCAAAGGAAGCACCGGCUAACUCCGUGGCAGCAGCCGCGGUAAUACGGAGGGUGCGAGCGGUAAUGGGAAUUACUGGGCGUAAAGCGCACGUAGGCGGUAUGUCAAGCCAAGGGGGAAAUCGCCGGGCUACACGUGGGAACUGCCUUUGAAACUGGCGAACUGGAGGGGGUGAGAGGGAAGGGGAAUUCCAGGGGUAGGAGUGAAAUCCGGAGAUAUCUGGAGGAACAUCAGUGGCGAAGGCGACUAUCUGGCACAUAACUGACGCUGAGGAGCGAAAGCGUGGGUAGCAAACAGGAUUAGAUACCCCAGUAGUC
rnacentral:rRNA from 1 species